rnacentral:lncRNA from 12 species
GGGGGGGGGGGGGGGGGGGGGGGGGGGGGGGGGGGGGGGGGGGGGGGGGGGGGGGGGGGGGGGGGCGUGAGGGGUGCCGUGAGGGAUGCCGUGAGGAGUGGAGUGCCGAGAGGGGUGCUGUGGCGGAUGCCGUCAGGGAUGCCGUGAGGGAUGCCGUGAGGGGUGCCGUGAGGAGUGGAGUGCCGUGAGGGGUGCUGUGGCGGAUGCCGUGAGGGGUGCUCUGAAGGUGCCAUGGCCCCCGCUAAUGUCCCGACCGCUCCAGGGCGCGUUGGCCUUGGCUGGCGGCAGGAGAAAGACGAUGCAGUAACGUGCUGGCUGUGAUGGCAAGUGCCGGUUCGGGAGCUCACAUCCAGGACAAUAGCAAAUGCGCAGCCUUCUAGACAGACUUGGUUUCGGUGAGCUCGAGCAGGUUUGUCCAGGACUACGCCUAGUUAGGCUUGAACUAUCUCCAAGGGCAGAGACUCCACAACUUCUGCAGGUAACUUGUUCCAGUGUUGGAUCAUCUUCAGAAUACAAAUAUUUCUUAUUUUGUUGAAGUAGGACUUUUAUGUUUUUCAGUCAACUGCCCACUGCUUUUUGGCAUGUUCUGUCAUGCUCUCCUCAGAGUCAGA